UACGAAGGGGGCUAGCGUUGCUCGGAAUUACUGGGCGUAAAGGGCGCGUAGGCGGAUGUUUAAGUCGGGGGUGAAAGCCCGGGGCUCAACCUCGGAAUUGCCUUCGAUACUGGACAUCUUGAGUACGGGAGAGGUGAGUGGAACUCCGAGUGUAGAGGUGAAAUUCGUAGAUAUUCGGAGGAACACCAGUGGCGAAGGCGGCUCACUGGUCCGGUACUGACGCUGAGGUGCGAAAGCGUGGGGAGCAAACAGG
rnacentral:rRNA from 1 species